rnacentral:tRNA from 1 species
ACUUUAAUAAUUUAAUAAAAUAUCGGUCUUGUAAACCGAAAAUGGGAAUUCCCUUAAAGUA